CCGCCGGCGACCGGCGCACGGGUGAGUAACACGUAUGCAACCUGGCCGUGACAGAUGGAUAACCGGGAGAAAUCCCGCCUAAUACAACAUAAUGCCGGGAGGGGACAUCCCCUGCCGGCCAAAGGGGGCGACCCCGGUCACGGAUGGGCAUGCGGCGCAUUAGGUAGUUGGUGGGGCAACGGCCCACCAAGCCGACGAUGCGUAGGGGUUCUGAGAGGAAGGUCCCCCACAUUGGAACUGAGACACGGACCAAACUCCUACGGAAGGCAGCAG
rnacentral:rRNA from 1 species